UACGUAGGGGGCAAGCGUUGUCCGGAUUUAUUGGGCGUAACGAGCGUGUAGGCGGCCAUGCAGGUCCGUUGUGAAAACUCGAGGCUCAACCUCGAGACGCCGAUGGAAACCGCAUGGCUAGAGUCCGGAAGAGGAGAGUGGAAUUCCCGGUGUAGCGGUGAAAUGCGCAGAUAUCGGGAAGAACACCCGUGGCUAAGGCGGCUCUCUAGUACGGUACUGACGCUGAGACGCGAAAGCGUGGGGAGCGAACAGG
rnacentral:rRNA from 1 species